GCGAAUACUGAUAGCUCAGUCGGCGAGAGCGUGGUGCUGAUAACGUCGAGGUUGCAGGUUCGAUCCCUGCAUGUGAGAUAGCUGCA